rnacentral:rRNA from 1 species
AGGAUGAACGCUAGCGGGAGGCUUAAUACAUGCAAGUCGAGGGAGAAUUGGUCUUCGGACCGAGGAAACCGGCGCACGGGUGAGUAACACGUACACAACUUACCCCUAACUGGGGAAUAGCCCUGGGAAACUGGGAUUAAUACCCCAUAAUAUUGACGCAUCUCAUGAAAUGUCAAUUAAAGUUCCGGCGGUUUAGGGAUGGGUGUGCGUCUGAUUAGCUAGUUGGUAGGUAACGGCUACCAAGGCUACGAUCAGUAGGGGGCGUGAGAGCGUGACUCCCCCACACGGGUACUGAGACACCGGACCCGACUCCGUACGGGAGGCAGCAGGUAAGGAAUAGUUGGACAAUGGGCGCAAGCCUGAUCCAGCCAUCCCGCGUUGGUAGGAACGAAGGCCCUAGUGGGUACGUAAACUACUUUUGUCGAAGGAACUAAACCUCUCGACUUUUACGUCGGAGCGUAGAACGGUAC